AAUAUCACCAUGUAAUAAAUAAUAAUAAUAACCACAAUAAUCCCAGCUUGAUGGGGGCCCUGCUGGUUAGAGAAUGUUCUAGCUAGGUUACCAGAUGGAGAACUGUAAUGAGGCUCAUUCCCUGGUAAUUUAAGAAAUGAAGGCAGCAUCACUUUUUGCCUCUCAUCACCUUUCCCUUCCCUUUAUUUCUCAGCAUCCUGAUGUCUUCUGGCUGUGGCAAGCAAUCUCUCUCUCCCAGCUCCCUCCCUUCCCUCUCCCUCCUUCCUCCCCCACCCCCAUUUUUAUCUCUCCUGGAGCCUAAGCUGUUAGUGUUUUGCUGCUGGGAAUCCUGGCGUUGUGCAAGGUCUUUACACGUAUCUUAUCAAGUGAGCCCUGUGCCGUCUCUUAAAUCCCCGUGGUAGGAAGAUGUCAAGACAUUGGCUACAGCCAAUGAGGUGUCAGAGGGUUUCUAAUGCCGUAUAGACAUGUGGUGGAUUGAUCCUCUUCUCUCCCCAAAUGUAUCCUGGUUUCCUUAGCAGAAAAGUUAAGUCAGAACUUUUUUCUUAUUUGAAUUUAGUCAGGCAGGUGGUUCCAGAACCUUCCUUCUCCAGGUCCUGAGCACCUACACACCCGAGCUUUGGGAGACCACCAUCGCCACCAUCCACAGGCUGCAACAGAGAUGCUUCCUGCUUCUGUUUGCGUCUCAGCAAUGUCCCCGUCUUUUCUGCUGAAAAUUCUCUUUCUUUAUGGAUGUUCCUUCCCACUUUCUCCUUCCUCCCCUCAUCAGGUACUUUAAAGGGUCUAAUUCUUGCGCAGAAUUAAAGCUAACGGAAGAUACCCAAUCAGGCCGAUUCUCCAUGCUUACUUCGAGGUGACAGGUUAACAACAGGAAACAGAGAACAAUCAUGAGUCGUCACCCUCUGGAUGCUACUGUAAGAACAACUGGCCUCAAAAGUAGGGGAGAGAAACGUGUCCUAGAGACCUGAGUAGAGGCAUCCACCCUGCUGUGUGACCCGCCAGCGUCUGACCUUCACUCACCUCGGGAUUUAACACGCUCUCGGACAACUGAUUUUAACUGCAGAUUUUCCCCAUCAACACAGUAACCCACCCUCCUGCCCACCACCACCACGCCAGGAUUGAGUCCGCCCCAUUCACCCGUGCAUUUCCAGAGUCAAGCUCAGUGCCUGGCUCAGGGUCUUCAGAUCCCAGACUAACACCUUGAUUGCUGCAUUGCAAGGGACAGAGGGACCCAGUUGAGCUGCAUCUGGAUUUCUGACCCACCCAAACUAACACAAAGUGGCUUGCAGAGCCCAUAUCCAUUUGAAUAAAGACAGAACAACCACUGCAGCAAAAGCUCAGCUGCCAGAUGCUCUGCUUGUUGACUCGGUUGAAUUUCUAUCACCCUCUACAGUCUCUGGGUGAGGACUUCGCUCAUCUGGGGACUCCUGAUAGUUUUGGAAUUAAAAAUUGGAUUCCAAAUGGUAGAGAUUUAAUUCCUAAACACACCGAAAGAGAUGAUGCCAAGUAUUCAAUUUAGAUAUCCUUUGGUUGUAAAUAAAGACUUAUGAUU